AGAGUCAGCGAAGGCAGUUGCGGACUCAAUACCCGAGUCUGAGGAAAGUCCGGGCUCCCAAAAGACUAAAUCUGCUGGGUAACGCCCAGUGCGAGCGAUCGUGAGGAUAGUGCCACAGAAAGAUACCGCCUUUUCAGUCAACAGGAGAGAGGGGACAGGAGACAGUGAAUAACUGAGAACUGAUAACUGUUUACUGAUCACUGAAAGGGUAAGGGUGCAAAGGUGCGGUAAGAGCGCACCAGCAACGUCGUGAGGCGUUGGCUCGGUAAACCCCAGGUGGGAGCAAGGUCGGAGGAACUACGGUUGGUCUUUUCCCGGUUCCGGUUGAGGUGGCACCGCUAGAGGUGUUUGGUAACAAACAUCCCAGAUAGAUAACUGCCCUUUUGACUGCUAGCAGUUGAAAGAACAGAACCCGGCUUAUGUCUGACUCUCUCU
rfam:Limnoraphis robusta CS-951 contig211, whole genome shotgun sequence.